AGUGAACGCUGGCGGUAGGCCUAACACAUGCCAGUCGAACGGCAGCACAGUAAGAGCUUGCUCUUACGGGUGGCGAGUGGCGGACGGGUGAGGAAUACAUCGGAAUCUACUUUUUCGUGGGGGAUAACGUAGGGAAACUUACGCUAAUACCGCAUACGACCUACGGGUGAAAGCAGGGGAUCUUCGGACCUUGCGCGAUUGAAUGAGCCGAUGUCGGAUUAGCUAGUUGGCGGGGUAAAGGCCCACCAAGGCGACGAUCCGUAGCUGGUCUGAGAGGAUGAUCAGCAACACUGGAACUGAGACACGGUCCAGACUCCUACGGGAGGCAGCAGUGGGGAAUAUUGGACAAUGGGCGCAAGCCUGAUCCAGCCAUACCGCGUGGGUGAAGAAGGCCUUCGGGUUGUAAAGCCCUUUUGUUGGGAAAGAAAAGCAGCAGGUUAAUACCCCGCUGUUCUGACGGUACCCAAAGAAUAAGCACCGGCUAACUUCGUG
rnacentral:rRNA from 1 species